AAAAAAUUAAAAUUAUCAACCGUCGUCUAAUACAACGCAAAUGCGCGAUCAUCGCAAGUUCGCGCGAAUUUUACUGGUACGAACACACAUACUGGU